rnacentral:ribozyme from 13 species
CAUCUCUUUUUGUUUCUUUUUGCUUCUCUUUUUCUUUCUCUUUUUCUUUCUCUUUCCCACUCAGAAAUCUGUCUCUCCUUUCCUUUUUCUCUUUCAUUUUGAGAAUCAGACGGGAG